rnacentral:rRNA from 1 species
CCUGGCUCAGAACGAACGCUGGCGGCAUGCCUAACACAUGCAAGUCGAACGAAGCCUUCGGGCUUAGUGGCGCACGGGUGCGUAACACGUGGGAAUCUGCCCUUCGGUUCGGAAUAACAGUUAGAAAUGACUGCUAAUACCGGAUGAUGACGAAAGUCCAAAGAUUUAUCGCCGAAGGAUGAGCCCGCGUAGGAUUAGGUAGUUGGUAGGGUAAUGGCCUACCAAGCCGACGAUCCUUAGCUGGUCUGAGAGGAUGAUCAGCCACACUGGGACUGAGACACGGCCCAGACUCCUACGGGAGGCAGCAGUGGGGAAUAUUGGACAAUGGGCGAAAGCCUGAUCCAGCAAUGCCGCGUGAGUGAUGAAGGCCUUAGGGUUGUAAAGCUCUUUUACCAGGGAUGAUAAUGGCAGUACCUGGAGAAUAAGCUCCGGCUAACUCCGUG